AUUUUGGCUUGGUCUUGCUUUUCCUCCUUCUAUCCCCUCCGCCUUCUUUUCCCGAUGCCAGGUUAGGGUUUCUGUUCUUCCUGGAGGUUCAAGCGAUUGGGAUUUCUCUCUUCAUGUCGAUGGUUGAUUUCAUUCCCACAUCUUCGAACUCGUUAUCUUCUCAUCGUACUUGAACUCAGUUCAAUUUGGUCAUCUUUAAAGGGGUCUACCAUGAAUUCUGAAGCCAAGCUUUUAUGUUGUGGCACCUCAAGAAUGUCAAAGUAACCGGGUUCCAUGAGAUGAUACUUUUUGCAGUUGAAGUAGUUUACAUGUCUGCAGCUCUGAAAAACUAAGUGUACUGUUUAUUACUCUGUUUCGUCAUAGAACCUUUUCUCCAGUUCCAUCUUUCUUAACAUCUGGACCAGAAUUCUGAGAACAUUUGAAUGUGUUCUGUCACUCCAUUUGAAAAUGUUCCAAAAAAGGUUCCAGUAAUCACUUCUGAGAACA